CGUGGGCGGAGGACCAUCCGAGCCAGAUUUCCUGAACCGGCAUAUGAGGCUCUUUCAAGCCUCCAAGUCUUAUCUUCAGCCAUAUUGCGACCAUCACAACCACUCGCAACUACUUCAACCACACCACGUUUUUUAUGCCUCUGUACUUUGGGAGAUGCUGUUCCAUCUUCAUAGAAGGGCCUUCAUCUUAGCCACUUGGAUGAAUCUGGACUUUCCAACCCUUGGAUGACACCUUCACAUGCAGCCCACAAGGCCUCUGCUGAAUGUCACUUGCAGCCUAACGAGAAAGCCAUUCCUGGCACUAGAUAAUCGAUGGUCGUGGUUUGUUUUCAAAGCUCCUGGUAAAUUAGGUCUCCUGGAAGGCACCUUCCCCGAACCUUCCCCCACUGUAUUUAUGCUUAAUUCUUUUCAUUUUUCAUUGCUUCCCCAAAUUAAAUUUAUGUGUGCACUUGGCAAAUUGUUGCCAUUAGUGUAAACAUUCACUACAAGACAUUCCCCAAGUUCUGGUGCCUAGAGAUAUCGUAGUAAAAUGAAUUGUUCUCCCC
rnacentral:lncRNA from 1 species